GGAAUUUUCAAAUUAGCGUAAAUUACAAUCGGUGAAACAUCUGCUGGGAGUGAUACUGGAGAACAUCUCAGAUUGGACCGAUCAUGUUAAAAAGAUCCAAAAGCAUGUUCGUCUCAUCUGGACACUGCUCCCCAGUGUGGAGCAGGGCUUCCGUGCGCUUCCACAAAAGUGGCAAGACAUUGGCCAUUAUGCAUCAUAGCGGCCUCCGAGUGGCUGCAAAUUGCGCGGGAGACCCACGGAAUCGUUCACGAGCAAGUAUGGGAUCCUACCGCUUUUUACCAGAUGGCAACAAACGGCAGCGAUAUGGUUGCACAAAAUCAGGCAGCAGAAAAAAUUCCAUGUGCCGCAGUACAUCGUCGAAUUGGUGAAAUUCGAACAGCACGUCAAGCCGUACAACCUUCGGAAAGGAAACCGCACCGUAAUCAAGGCGAAAGCAAAGAAAAAGCCGGCGAAUAACCAUUGUUUAAUUGGAGGUUUAAAAAAAAAUGUGUACAUUUUUCGCUAAUCGUAAUUCUUCUGAUAUUCUUCGGAUACUCGUAUUAUUGGUGUGUUUCAAGAAUGCUUUCAGCAGUGUCAAAUUUGAUUUUUCGGACUGUCUUGCAGUUCCUUACUGUUUGGCCAGGUUUAAAAUCCCGUACCAGAAUGUUACC